AACGAACGCUGGCGGCAUGCCUAACACAUGCAAGUCGAACGAGACCUUCGGGUCUAGUGGCGCACGGGUGCGUAACGCGGGGGAACCUGCCCUUAGGUUCGGAAUAACUCCCCGAAAGGGGUGCUAAUACCGGAUAAUGUCUUCGGACCAAAGAUUUAUCGCCUUUGGAUGGGCCCGCGUUGGAUUAGCUAGUUGGUAGGGUAAAAGCCUACCAAGGGGACGAUCCAUAGCUGGUCUGGGAGGAGGAUCAUCCACACUGGGACUGAGACACGGCCCAGACUCCUACGGGAGGCAGCAGUGGGGAAUAUUGGACAAGGGGCGAAAGCCUGAUCCAGCAAUGCCGCGUGAGUGAUGAAGGCCUUAGGGUUGUAAAGCUCUUUUACCCGGGAUGAUAAUGACAGUACCGGGAGAAUAAGCACCGGCCAACUCCGUG
rnacentral:rRNA from 1 species